rnacentral:rRNA from 1 species
CAUGCACGCUGGCGGCGUGCCUAAUACAUGCAAGUCGAGCGAACAGAUAAGGAGCUUGCUCCUUUGACGUUAGCGGCGGACGGGUGAGUAACACGUGGGUAACCUACCUAUAAGACUGGAAUAACUCCGGGAAACCGGGGCUAAUGCCGGAUAACAUUUAGAACCGCAUGGUUCUAAAGUGAAAGAUGGUUUUGCUAUCACUUAUAGAUGGAACCGCGCCGUAUUAGCUAGUUGGUAAGGUAACGGCUUACCAAGGCAACGAUACGUAGCCGACCUGAGAGGGUGAUCGGCCACACUGGAACUGAGACACGGUCCAGACUCCUACGGGAGGCAGCAGUAGGGAAUCUUCCGCAAUGGGCGAAAGCCUGACGUAGCAACGCCGCGUGAGUGAUGAAGGUCUUCGGCUCGUAAAACUCUGUUAUUAGGGAAGAACAAAUGUGUAAGUAACUGUGCACGUCUUGACGGUACCUAAUCAGAAAGCCACGGCUAACUACGUG